rnacentral:lncRNA from 1 species
CCAAGAAAAUGUUUAAUUUUCCAAACGACAUCAAUCGUAGGAAGUUGUGGAUCAAUGCUAUCAAACGUACGAAUUGGAAUCCCACGAAAGGACUCAGGAUUUUGCCAAAAUCAAUGUUUCUGCCUAAGUCUUUAGAAGGACGUUGGCGUUCGGUACAUAAUGCAAUUUCUACUUUAUUUGAACAUGUUAAGAUAAAAAACAAACCAAAGCUUCCGUUUAACCGAAACAGAGACGCAGAAGAACUUCAAAAGGAGCAAAGAAUUCUAAUGUUAGAACAUUCGUAUGCUAAAACAGAUGGUACAUCAAAUAAGGAAGAUUAUCCUGAUCACGAAGCUCAAACCCCAUUCUCAUUAGACAUUUUUAAACAAGACGCCCCUGAGAUUAAAGUUUUAACAUACGUACCAUCAUCCUCUAAUUGUAUCAAUUUAGUAGCGGCAAAUAAAUCUUUAUCUGCAAAAAUAAAGACCCUUCAAGUGAAACUUGCCAGGAACAAGGCUUCAAUAAUGUCAAACUAAAAAAAUCAAUAAAAAGAUAUCCAAACAUGUCCAACAGCUAAAAAAGCACUAAAAUUGAGAUUUGCUUGUGGUUCGUCAGGUUAUGAAUCUCUUCUUGAUCAAGGAUUUCCUUUACCCUCGCUGAGGACACUGUACAGGAAAAAUGAAGGCAUUUCAUUUGAAAGUGGUAUUUCGAAUGAUAUUUUUGAGUUUUUGACGUUUAAAAUUAUUACCUUCAGAGAAAAAGACAAAAAUUGUGUACUAUUGAGGGAUGAAAUGGUCAUCAAAAAGUCUAAAGACAAACGGCUAUAAUGUCUAAUGGGGCGGGUUACUCUUCCGAGCACACAGUUAAUUGUUCUGUACUGGGAAAAAUUACAAAGGAUGUCGUCAUAUGAGCUUCUGAAAUUGGUCUACCUGUAAGAUCAAUUACCAGAUAUAUGGGCCCAUCAAACCAGGCAAUGUUUCGUUGGUAGGGAGUUAAUUUUGGAAGAAAUUGAAAUUGUUAACUUCAUCCCAAAUUUAGCAAAUCCAAAGAAAAUUUAUAAUUUCUCUAUGAUGUUCCUCAUCUUCUAAGAAAUCUUCGAACUUCUUUAGUAAACAAUAUUGAAAUCAUUUUGCC